rnacentral:lncRNA from 1 species
CCGAAGGAGAGAGCGCAGAGAGGGAGAAUGUGUCUGCGUGCGCACAGCCAAAAUUGGUCAGAAAGGGGAGUAAAGUGGGACACGAGCUUCAAAGUAGGGAAACCAAAGAAGGGAGCAUCCACGUCCUCUCUCUGCAGCUUCUCCCCCGCGUUCUUCGGGCGAAUCCGAGGGACGGGCGCUGCGCUGGGGAAAGUUUGUCCCACCCGCGUUUCGCAGCUGGUUGCAAGGAGAGGAGGAGGAGAGGGAGGGUCAAGCUCGGAGCCUGUGACCGCACGGAUGAUCGAGCCGGCGUCGCGCUUACCUCGCAGUCCUCGUACUUGAUAUUAUCCGUCAAUUUCCAAAGCAUUUUCAUGGAUCGGCGUGAACGGAUAUGCCCCUCUCGGUCUCGCACCCAAGUGGAGCUACUCUCUGGCUCUUUACCAACAGCCUAAUCGCCUCAUUAGCAUAUCAACAAUAGUCCAAUUGCUCGCCAGUACCACAAUCUGCCGCCGGCCGCUCCGACACAGGUAUAAAGGCCUCUCUACGCCGCGAACUUGCUUCUAGAGCGCACUCCAGCCUGCGAACUGAUAAAACCUUCCUCGAGCUCCGCCGCGAGGCCCUGCCCCAACACCCCCUCUCUUACCCCAAUUCCGCCACAUUCCCCUUCCUUUCUUUCUCCGCUUCCUUUUCUCCAGAGAUGCCUUCUGCAAAGCCCGGCACUGCUCAAGGUCCAAGCGCCACGCCUGGGGCCCAGCUUCUAGCACUUCUCCCUUAACCCUGCUACCACGAUCCGAGCUGCCCUUUUGGCCCCGUGCAAUUUUAUUAGAAAUCAUUAUCCCUUUCGCAAUUAAACAUAACCACCAAACCAAGACCGGCGAAGUCACUCCAGGAUUUUUUCCCAACAAGGGAUCGCCUCCGCUCGAGGCAGCCACCCCCUCGGGCCGCAGCGCCUUGGGAGUUUUAUUGGCUUUGAGCUUUCCCCCAGGUUGGAGAUUCUGCCAAGCGGCUCCGGUGGCUCUGCUGGGGUUUGCAAUCCCUUAAUUGCAGCGUGUAAAAUAAAAGUUGUACCCUGAAGAGGUUACUUGACAGCUCCAGGGGUUAAACAAUUUUUCUCCUGUUUGUGUGAAGCUAGGGCCAACUGACAGUUCAAAUUGGUGUUCAGGCUAAGGUUUCCUGGGUGCAACGUGGACACGAAUACAGAACUCCUAUGGAACUGCACACCCGCUUCUGAAGUUGAGCCUAAAAACAGACGUGUGUGUGCCUGCAAGUCUAGAUACCGUCUCGUGCGUGCAUCAAAAUAAAUCACCGGGAACCGACUUUUAGCUGUGUUAAUCUGCUCUAGUUUUCCCAAGAUUCCCCUUUUUAAUUAAAGCAGGGAGAGUUCCUUCAUGAUUUGGUGAUGCUACUAACGCGGGCGUGCUCGCGAGGCAGAGCCCGGCUGCCGCGGAACCUGGAGGCCUGGGAGCCACCUACUCGUCCAGACUGGUCAGUCCGGGCUUUUGGACUCCUCACCGGGGCCUGCUGGGUCCUCUGGGGCUUUUAUCCCUUUCGGUUUUGGGAUUUUUUUUUAAGUAAGAAAAAAAAAAAAGAAAAGGACCUAAUGUGACACUAGGAAAUACAGAGUAAUUAAUUUUCCUGGCUGAGCUUCCUCGUUUGUCCUCCAAAAGAAAGUUACCUCUGUCUUUUCUCUCUGCUAUAUGUACAAACUCCUUAACUACACUAGGUCCCGCCUCAGAGUUGCUCUAGUAAGGACCUUUGAUUCAUCUGGGCUUGUUUCUCGAAAAUCUCCAGGCCUCCCAUAUUUCCACCGGG